rnacentral:rRNA from 1 species
UAGGGAAUCUUCCGCAAUGGGCGAAAGCCUGACGGAGCAACGCCGCGUGAGUGAUGAAGGUCUUCGGAUCGUAAAACUCUGUUAUUAGGGAAGAACAUAUGUGUAAGUAACUGUGCACAUCUUGACGGUACCUAAUCAGAAAGCCACGGCUAACUACGUGCCAGCAGCCGCGGUAAUACGUAGGUGGCAAGCGUUAUCCGGAAUUAUUGGGCGUAAAGCGCGCGUAGGCGGUUUUUUAAGUCUGAUGUGAAAGCCCACGGCUCAACCGUGGAGGGUCAUUGGAAACUGGAAAACUUGAGUGCAGAAGAGGAAAGUGGAAUUCCAUGUGUAGCGGUGAAAUGCGCAGAGAUAUGGAGGAACACCAGUGGCGAAGGCGACUUUCUGGUCUGUAACUGACGCUGAUGUGCGAAAGCGUGGGGAUCAAACAGGAUUAGAUACCCUGGUAGUCCACGCCGUAAACGAUGAGUGCUAAGUGUUAGGGGGUUUCCGCCCCUUAGUGCUGCAGCUAACGCAUUAAGCACUCCGCCUGGGGAGUACGACCGCAAGNU